rnacentral:misc_RNA from 1 species
GAUGAAGAACGCAGCGAAAUGCGAUAAGUAAUGUGAAUUGCAGAAUUCAGUGAAUCAUCGAAUCUUUGAACGCACAUUGCGCCCGCCAGUAUUCUGGCGGGCAUGCCUGUUCGAGCGUCAUUACAACCCUCAGGCCCCCGGGCCUGGCGUUGGGGAUCGGCGGAGCCCCCCGUGGGCACACGCCGUCCCCCAAAUGCAGUGGCGGUCCCGCCGCAGCUUCCAUCGCGUAGUAGCUAACACCUCGCGACUGGAGAGCGGCGCGGCCACGCCGUGAAACACCCAACUCUUCUGAAGUUGACCUCGAAUCAGGUAGGAAUACCCGCUGAACUUAAGCAUAUCAAUAAGCGGAGGA